rnacentral:lncRNA from 1 species
GGGGGUGAAACUGGUGCUCAUGGACAGCAGUGGCAACAACAGUAGCUGUAGCCUUAAGAGGCACUAGCUAGGACUCUUGAUGAAUUAUCAGUCAAGAUGCUACUAGUUGCUUAUAAUUAUUUAUUACUAUAUAUGUCAUGGUGUAAGGGCAGAGAUGGCUGGGCUUGAACAGGAACCACAGAACUAGUGUAAUUUGGUAAUAGCUAAAGGUAUAACUUGUAUGAUAUCCAAAAUAUAAUGCAAAUGGAAAUUGGCCAUGAUAGGCAC